GUUUAUUCAUAAUGAGGUGAGAUAUCACCCAAGCUUUGAGACAAACUAACUUUUCAUAUGGCCUCUUCUCUAAAAUAGGUCGGGGGUCGGGGUGAAGCUUUAAAUAGAAAUAACUUCUCCGGGCAUAAACUGAGGAUAGCGGACCUAUCCGCUCUUUCUCCUCGCUCUGCCACCGUUGCUGAAUGGAGGAGCAGCCUAGAAAGCCGCCGCCUUCCCGCAAACAGAGACAGGAUCUCAUUUGAUCACCCAGGCUGGAGAAUGCAGUGGUACGAUCACAGCUCAUUGUAACCUGGAACUCCUGGGCUCAAACACUUCUCCCGCCUCAGUCUCCCACGUGAGUUUACAGGGUUGCUGUGAGGAUGAAAUGAGAUAAUGCCCACUUAGCACAAGGCCUGGAACAUGAUGGCACCAAGAUUCCUCUUGUGGAGAUGAUUGUGUUUGGGAGAAGCUUUUGAUGAGCCACUUGGAGUAUAGAAGUGCAAAGACAAGCUCAAAUAAUAACGGUGAUUAAAAUGUUUUCUAAAAACGGAAAACCUAUUAACUGCAUGGCCUUCUGUUUUUGCCUGGGAGUGUGCAGGUUUGGGGUGGAGGUGAAUUGCUUCCGAAACUAGUACACUUUGUUCUGCUUUUUCUUCUAUACAAUACUGGCUCAGUGGGAGAAAAAAAAAAAUCUCAAUUGUAUUAAGGGAUAUAGGAUUUUGGAGCAAGGCAAGUGUCAUGUGUUUGUGAGAUGUGUGAUACAAAUUAUCUUCUCUCAUUCUUCUGCAACAUCUUCACCAAAGUCUCCACUGCUUAUUAUGAUUCUAUUUUCUUACUGGAUUUUUCUGGAGUUAGGGAGCAGAGUGAGGGAAGAACCAGAAGGCUGCCAAAAUGUAAGUCAUGGUAGACAUGGUAGACAAAUUGGCUGGAGAAUAAGAGGAAAGCUGACAUCGAAGUAACAUCAGUAUCUGACAAGAAGAUUAGGGCCACCCUAAUAAUGUAUCAUUAAUUUGCACAUUUUAGGACAGAGUUUACAAAUCCUUCUUUGCAUCAAAAUCAUCAUCGGUCCUUGGGUCUACUGCCAUAUAUUCUUAUUCAACUGGUCUGGAGUGCGACCCAGACAUUCAACAUUUUUUCAAGAUCUCAGAUGAAUCUGAAAUGUAUAGCCAAGAUUGAGAACUAAAGUGGAGAAUCUAAAAUAAUCCAAACAAUGCAUGUUACGACAGAUAAAGUAGAAAAGUACAUACAGAUAUAAUUCCUUUCUCUUUUUUGUCUCUUUCCUUCUUUCAUCACACAAAUGAUUUUUUAAAAUAUACUUUAAGUUCUGGGGUAUACAUGUGCAGAAUAUGCAGGUUUGUUACAUGGAUAUACAAGUGCCAUGGUGGUUUGCCGCACCCAUCAACCCAUCAACCCAUCAUCUACAUUAGGUAUUUCUCCUAAUGCUAUCCCUCCCCUAUCCCCCUACCCUCUGCUAUUCCUCCCCUAGCCCCCCACCCCCUGACAGGCCCCAGUGUGUGAUGUUCCCCUCCCUGUGUCCAUGUGUUCUCAUUGUUCCACACCCACUUAUGAGUGAGAACAUGUGGUGUUUGGUUUUCUGUUCUUGUGUCAAUUUGCUGAGAAUGAUGGUUUCCAGUUUCAUCCACGUCCCUGAAAAGGACAUGAACUCAUUCUGCUUCUUGGACUUUUGGCUAAGAUCAAUUGUACAAAUGAUUUUUAAACUAUUUUUCUGAUAAUUUUUAUUAAUAAAUACCCAAUAAAUGUGUUACAUUACUAACAAAGAGAGAAAAAUAACAUGAACCUAAUCAAUUAGCAUAGAUUUAUCUAAAAUAUUGUAAACUAUGGCUUCUUGAUUAUUACAAAAUG